GACGAACGCUGGCGGCGUGCUUAACACAUGCAAGUCGAACGGAAAGGCCCUGCUUUUGUGGGGUGCUCGAGUGGCGAACGGGUGAGUAACACGUGAGUAACCUGCCCUUGACUUUGGGAUAACUUCAGGAAACUGGGGCUAAUACCGGAUAGGAGCUCCUGCUGCAUGGUGGGGGUUGGAAAGUCGCGGCGGGUGGGGAUGGACGCGCGGCUUAUCAGCUUGUUGGUGGGGUAGUGGCUUACCAAGGCUUUGACGGGUAGCCGGCCUGAGAGGGUGACCGGCCACAUUGGGACUGAGGUACGGCCCAGACUCCUACGGGAGGCAGAAGUGGGGAAUAUUGCACAAUGGGCGGAAGCCUGAUGCAGCAACGCCGCGUGCGGGAUGACGGCCUUCGGGUUGUAAACCGCUUUCGCCUGUGACGAAGCGUGAGUGACGGUAAUGGGUAAAGAAGCACCGGCUAACUACGUG
rnacentral:rRNA from 1 species